rnacentral:rRNA from 1 species
UACAGAGGGUGCAAGCGUUAAUCGGAAUUACUGGGCGUAAAGGGUGCGUAGGUGGUUAAUUAAGUCAGAUGUGAAAUCCCCAGGCUUAACCUGGGAAUUGCAUUUGAAACUGGUAGACUAGAGUGCGGUAGAGGGAAGUGGAAUUUCCGGUGUAGCGGUGAAAUGCGUAGAUAUCGGAAGGAACACCAGUGGCGAAGGCGACUUCCUGGACCGUUACUGACACUGAGGCACGAAAGCGUGGGGAGCAAACAGG